AAUUUAAUACUACCCAAUUUAAGGUUUCCAGUAAAAAACUUGAAUUGAACUUUAAAUUCUGCUUCUUUUGGUAUUUCUGUCAUUGAACUCAAUUUCAGGUUCAUCUUUUCAUCUGAUUUAGUUUUGAGGAGUCAGUUGGUUGAAUUUGUUAAAGAUACAUCAUUUUGCCAUAACGUAGUUAACUAAUCAUGCUUCCUAUAAUUCUUGAUUUUGAUAAGUUGAUUAACUAUUUUCUCGGUAAACUUUAACUACAUACAAUUACCUCACUUUGCUCAAGCUAAUCAGGCUUUAUGCCAGGAAUAGAAGAACAUCUUGAAUUAACAGAAUUACAAUGCAAAGCUGCUCCAGAGUAUAUGUGGUAAUAUACAAUUGCAAUUCACACCUAAUUAUUAUUAUGCUUCGCAAAAAAGUUGUCUACCUUUAAUCGUUUCUGUUUCUCUUCAUUUUAAUCAAUUCAAAAUUAUUAGUCUCAUUUAUUUUCUUCUCUUAUAUAUACUUGUUAUAUAUACUUGCAUGUAGAUCUAACGCGUUAUUCCCUUCAAAUUCACGCUUUCAUCUUGGAUUUGAAAAGCAACAAACUCAUCAAAGACCCCCUUCACCAUUUUCUCUGUUCCUUUCCGUCUCAUUUAUUCUUCUUCAGUUAUAACUGAUCUUUCUUGCUGAAACCUUUGCUUGAGCAGUAGAAAAUUUGGGGAAAAUUGGAAGCUUCCUCAGCUGUUUAACUUCAACUUUGCUCAGGUUAGUACUUUUUAGUCUCAUUUUGUUUGAUGCGAUAUCAGUUUCAUAACUCUUAAAAAGCUGAAAUGUUGC
rnacentral:lncRNA from 1 species